UACGUAGGGUGCAAGCGUUGUCCGGAAUUAUUGGGCGUAAAGGGCUCGUAGGCGGUCCGUCACGUCGGGAGUGAAAACCUGGGGCUUAACCCCAGGCCUGCUUCCGAUACGGGCGGACUAGAGGUAGGCAGGGGAGAACGGAAUUCCUGGUGUAGCGGUGAAAUGCGCAGAUAUCAGGAGGAACACCGGUGGCGAAGGCGGAUCUCUGGGCAGCAACUGACGCUGAGGAGCGAAAGCGUGGGGAGCAAACAGG
rnacentral:rRNA from 1 species